GAUGAACGCUGGCGGCGUGCCUAAUACAUGCAAGUCGAGCGAACGGACGAGAAGCUUGCUUUUCUGAUGUUAGCGGCGGACGGGUGAGUAACACGUGGAUAACCUACCUAUAAGACUGGGAUAACUUCGGGAAACCGGAGCUAAUACCGGAUAAUAUUUUGAACCGCAUGGUUCAAAAGUGAAAGACGGUCUUGCUGUCACUUAUAGAUGGAUCCGCGCUGCAUUAGCUAGUUGGUAAGGUAACGGCUUACCAAGGCAACGAUGCGUAGCCGACCUGAGAGGGUGAUCGGCCACACUGGAACUGAGACACGGUCCAGACUCCUACGGGAGGCAGCAGUAGGGAAUCUUCCGCAAUGGGCGAAAGCCUGACGGAGCAACGCCGCGUGAGUGAUGAAGGUCUUCGGAUCGUAAAACUCUGUUAUUAGGGAAGAACAGAUGUGUAAGUAACUGUGCACAUCUUGACGGUACCUAAUCAGAAAGCCACGGCUAACUACGUG
rnacentral:rRNA from 1 species